rnacentral:rRNA from 1 species
AUGAACGCUAGCUACAGGCUUAACACAUGCAAGUCGAGGGGCAGCAUGAACUUAGCUUGCUAAGUUUGAUGGCGACCGGCGCACGGGUGAGUAACACGUAUCCAACCUGCCGAUGACUCGGGGAUAGCCUUUCGAAAGAAAGAUUAAUACCCGAUGGCAUAGUUCUUCCGCAUGGUAGAACUAUUAAAGAAUUUCGGUCAUCGAUGGGGAUGCGUUCCAUUAGGUUGUUGGCGGGGUAACGGCCCACCAAGCCUUCGAUGGAUAGGGGUUCUGAGAGGAAGGUCCCCCACAUUGGAACUGAGACACGGUCCAAACUCCUACGGGAGGCAGCAGUGAGGAAUAUUGGUCAAUGGACGAGAGUCUGAACCAGCCAAGUAGCGUGAAGGAUGACUGCCCUAUGGGUUGUAAACUUCUUUUAUACGGGAAUAAAGUGAGGCACGUGUGCCUUUUUGUAUGUACCGUAUGAAUAAGGAUCGGCUAACUCCGUGCCAGCAGCCGCGGUAAUACGGAGGAUCCGAGCGUUAUCCGGAUUUAUUGGGUUUAAAGGGAGCGUAGGCGGACGCUUAAGUCAGUUGUGAAAGUUUGCGGCUCAACCGUAAAAUUGCAGUUGAUACUGGGUGUCUUGAGUACAGUAGAGGCAGGCGGAAUUCGUGGUGUAGCGGUGAAAUGCUUAGAUAUCACGAAGAACUCCGAUUGCGAAGGCAGCUUGCUGGACUGUAACUGACGCUGAUGCUCGAAAGUGUGGGUAUCAAACAGGAUUAGAUACCCUGGUAGUCCACACAGUAAACGAUGAAUACUCGCUGUUUGCGAUAUACAGUAAGCGGCCAAGCGAAAGCGUUAAGUAUUCCACCUGGGGAGUACGCCGGCAACGGUGAAACUCAAAGGAAUUGACGGGGGCCCGCACAAGCGGAGGAACAUGUGGUUUAAUUCGAUGAUACGCGAGGAACCUUACCCGGGCUUGAAUUGCAACUGAAUGAUGUGGAGACAUGUCAGCCGCAAGGCAGUUGUGAAGGUGCUGCAUGGUUGUCGUCAGCUCGUGUCGUGAGAUGUUGGGUUAAGUCCCGCAACGAGCGCAACCCCUGUUCUUAGUUGCCAGCACAUAAUGGUGGGAACUCUAAGAAGACUGCCGGUGAUAAAUCGGAGGAAGGUGGGGAUGACGUCAAAUCAGCACGGCCCUUACGUCCGGGGCUACACACGUGUUACAAUGGGGGGUACAGAAGGCAGCUACACGGCGACGUGAUGCUAAUCCCGAAAGCCUCUCUCAGUUCGGAUUGGAGUCUGCAACCCGACUCCAUGAAGCUGGAUUCGCUAGUAAUCGCGCAUCAGCCACGGCGCGGUGAAUACGUUCCCGGGCCUUGUACACACCGCCCGUCAAGCCAUGAAAGCCGGGGGUACCUGAAGUGCGUAACCGCAAGGAGCGCCCUAGGGUAAAACUGGUGAUUGGGGCU